ACACGUAAGGGGCGAGCGUUGUUCGGAAUUAUUGGGCGUAAAGGGCGUGUAGGCGGCCUGGUAAGUCUGGUGUGAAAGACCGCAGCUUAACUGCGGGACCGCGCUGGAAACUAUCAGGCUAGAGUCUAAGAGGGGGAACUAGAAUUCCAGGUGUAGGGGUGAAAUCUGUAGAUAUCUGGAAGAAUACCGGAGGCGAAGGCGAGUUCCUGGCUAUAGACUGACGCUGAGGCGCGAAAGCGUGGGGAGCGAACAGGAUUAGAUACCCUGGUAGUCCACGCCGUAAACGUUGUGCACUAGGUGUUGGCCUUGAGGGGUCAGUACCGUAGCAAACGCGAUAAGUGCACCGCCUGGGGAGUAUGCUCGCAAGGGUGAA
rnacentral:rRNA from 1 species